UACGUAGGGUGCGAGCGUUAAUCGGAAUUACUGGGCGUAAAGCGUGCGCAGGCGGCGCGUUAAGACAGGUGUGAAAGCCCCGAGCUUAACUUGGGAAUUGCGCUUGUGACUGGCGUGCUGGAGUGUGGCAGAGGGAGGUGGAAUUCCACGUGUAGCAGUGAAAUGCGUAGAGAUGUGGAGGAACACCGAUGGCGAAGGCAGCCUCCUGGGCCAGCACUGACGCUCAUGCACGAAAGCGUGGGGAGCAAACAGA
rnacentral:rRNA from 1 species